ACUACCCUUUUCCUAUCUAUAAGGAGUCUAGCCACUCAUCCCGUCAUCACAGAAGGAAAGGAAACAUUAUUGCACCCAAAAACCCAGCUGCUAAGAGCAAGCAAUGGACCACGCAACAGGUGCCAUGGGCAGCCUGCUCCCCAAGCUCGGCGAACUCCUCAAGGAGGAGUACAAACUGCAGAGAAGCGUCAAGGAUGAUAUCAAACAUCUCGAGAGAGAGCUGGAGAGCAUGCACGCUGCCCUCAGCAAGGUCGGGGACGUGCCGCGGGACCAGCUCGACGAACAAGUCAAGCUCUGGGCCAACGAGGUAAGAGACCUUUCAUACAUAAUAGAGGAUAUCAUCGACAAGUUCCUGCUGCAUGUCGAGGGCCCUGAGCCUGAAAACAAGCCACACAUGCUCAAACAACUCAUGAAGAAGAUGGGCAGCUUGUUCACCAAGUUUAUGAAACGCCAUGCCAUCGGCAACGAGAUCAAAAGUAUCAAGGUCAGUGUUCAGGAGGCGGCUGACCGGCGUGACCGGUACAGGGUCCACAAGGUGGUUGCUAAUCCAGAUGUUGCAACCACGGCCGACCCUUGCCUGUUGGCUCUGUACAAGGACCAAAAAGAGCUUGUUGGCAUUGAUGAUUCAUUGAAUGAUCUAACCAGGAUGCUGAGUGACGGGGAUGGUGAUGUGUCCAAGCAACUAAAGAUAAUCUCUAUUUUUGGAUUCGGAGGCCUUGGCAAGACAACUCUUGCCAAAGCAGUAUAUGAUAAGCUCAAAACACAGUUCGAUUGCAGUGCUUUUGUUCCGGUAGGACGCCAACCUAGCGUGAAGAAACUUCUCAACGACAUUCUCUAUGGAAUUGGCAAGAAAAUGUACCCUGGUUUGGAUGAAAGGCAACUGAUUGAUGAAAUCCGAGUAUUACUUGAGAAAAAGAGGUACUUAAUCGUCAUUGAUGACAUAUGGGAUAAAAAACAUGGGAACUAGUCAAGACCGCUUUGGUGUGUACUAAUUGUGGAAGCAGGAUCGUCACAACUACUCGUAUACUCGAAGUUGCCGCAAGAACUGAUUCUCCAGUCAUGCCGACAACCCCUGGGAACGGAACAUCCUCCCUCCACUACUCCGUGUGCUGUGCAUGGCCUAUCAAGAACCCAGGCUGGUGGCAACGAUUAAUCCCUCGCUUCUUCCCAACCUCUCCCAUUUAUAAUUAAAUGUAUACAGUCCAGACCUAUAGGUCUUUGGAAGUUUCCGAAAGCUUGUUUCCCUUGAGUUGGUCACAUGGUCAGCUCUCCACCAUGACACCGUCGGCGGUGUAGGUGCAUUCCCCAAGCUGAGGGUCUUCAAGACACAAGCAACGACUUGCUCGUUUCAAGAGGGAGAUAUGCCGGUCCUUGAAUCUCUUGAGUUUCAAGUCGUAGCACAUGCCAAUGAUGAUGACAUUAGCUUUGAAUUUGACUUUGGUAGCCUAGGGAACCUCCCUUUCCUUCAGGAAGUCAGAGUCUAUUUAUGGGCUCCACUUGCGGAUUACAAAAAUGCUAAGACUAGCCACAGUGGGAGUAACUUCAGCAGUAACUUCAAGUCCAACUCAGCAAAUUUGUCCAUGUGGCAAUGAGUUAAUGAAGAGAGAGGUAGUUCUAGUAACUUAGCUAGUUACUGUAACAUCACACAUAUCAAGACAAGACGAGUCUAUAGCAUAAUAAAUGGGGUGUUGCAUGUUACUACACAUAUGUUACUUCCCACUAUAGAGGUAGUAACAUGCCCAUGUUAUUACUCUAUGUUAUUACCAAUUGUGGCUAGUCUAAGAAAAUAGCAAAGCGUGCAAUUGAUGUGCUUCCCAACUGCCUUAGGCAUGAUAUCACGGAACAGGAUAUGAGGGAUUGGAGUCGGAGAUUCCCAAACUGAUGUGUUUCCCAAUCACAUUUUCCAGCUAGCCGUAUAUCUCCACCUACCGGAAUCAAGGUUGGAAGCAUUACCAAAUCAGCCACGGAGAAAGAAAAGAUAGCUAAUAUCUUUGCAUAGCCGGUCAAGCCCGGAAGAAGGAGGGGCCAAGCAUAAACUUGUGAAAUGUCAAACCAUUAAUGCUCUUAGAUUUACUGUCUCAUUUAUUUGUAGGUUUUGCUUUUUGUUUUUCUUCAUUUUCUUGUUCAAGUAUAUACCAUCGUGGUUGGCCAUAUAUAGCUUCCGCCAUUUUCUUGUUCAUGUAUGUAACUUUAUACUUCAAAAUAUGGUGGUUCAAGUUUGGCUAAGUUGGAAGUUGGAACUCGGGAAGCUAAUAAAGCUGAAGACGCCAUGGGACCACUAUGAAGAGUGAUAUCUUUGGAAGGUUUCCGGCACCACCAUGAUGUCAUGGGAGCUGAAGGUGUAUUGCCUAAGUCAAACCUUUACAAGAGUACAACGCCUGACUAAUUUCUGGAGGUAGAGGAAGAGUUUCCUUGAAUAUCUGGGAAAAAGAAUACUUGUAUCAUCAUCUGGAAAAAUUAACUUCACGAUGAUUUCUCAGUCUCACCAAAAGAGGAAUUUUAUGAGGAUUUUUGCAAGCUACAUAUUUGCUCUGGUAAUUGCUUCCUUUGUUUACAGAAGUCCAAAUCAUCGUUCAGAUGCAGAGGCCGGGGGUAAGCCUCCUUUUCCAAAAAAAAAGAAGACCAAAGCAUGCAGCGGGUUUUUGGAUAGGACACGAGAAUGCAUGGUUGCUCUCUGGGAAAUAACUGAAGCACUACUUCUAUGGAAGUGGAAUGGAGUAUAUAUACAGUGCUUCCUUCUCCAGCCCAAACCGGUUGCCUCUUCCUCUUUGGGUUUCAUUUCCAUUUAAUGUUAAAUUUUUUUUUGAGGGUGAGCUUCUAAUAAGUUCCUCGUAAAAAACAGACUGUCCAGAAAGCUAUAUGGAGACACUGUUGCACUGUUGGGCUAGCUCUUCCAUGCCCAGACGCAUAUGAAAUUCUCAAAAGCUAGUCACUGGAAGUGUGGAACAGAGGGCUGGCCAAGGCAGAAAAUGUUGAUGGAUUCUAAGCAUAGAUAGCCUUCAGCAGAGUUGUAGUAACCAAUGCAAACAAUGUGGAAAAUCUGGACAGUGUGCAAAAAGUCGACUAAAACUGUCCUAUUUUUGAUAACAUUAAAAGCAGAUGGAUCUACAAUGA